rnacentral:tRNA from 1 species
GGCAUGGUGUAAUGGUUUGAGUGUUGGAUUCCCACUCUGGAGACCUGGGUUUGAUUCCCCGCUCUGCCA